rnacentral:tRNA from 1 species
UGGCUCAGACCGUAAAGUGUCUGCCUGCAAUGCAGGAGACCCAGGUUUGAUUCCUGG